AAUUUUCUAUGGGACGAUAAUGUAUGAGCACAUUAUUAAAAUUUGCCGCCAUUUUUUACUCUCAUGCUUUGCUUAACCAUCUAUAGUUACAUUAUCUAGGUUGGACUUGUGAUUACUGAUGUAUUUAUUGGGUAAAAAAAAACUGGUACUGGCAACAUUCUCAAGUUGUCAUCCAACAAACCAAGCUAACGGCCGAAUGUGAUCUGCUCGUUUACUGUUUUUCUGUGGUUUUUCUUUUCGCUCGCUUUUUUGCGUCGUUGUCAUUGCUGUGAAAGUGUUUUGGUGGUAAAAUUAACUCGGUGAUCGCGAUCGCAAGUAUAACUACUAAAAUAAUGGAAGAAGACACAGAAAACAAAUUGGUAUCCUGGGAUGUGCCGUCAGUAGUCGUCGAGAACUUCAAAAAAAAUCAUAUAAGCAAGGAACAGUUCAAAUAUUUGGUUUUAAAUGAUACUUGAAAGAGCUUUGCAAACACAUUGGGCAACGAAUUAAACUAAAAAGUAAACUACAAGAUUACUUAGACUCAGUUACUGAUACUGAAACUGCAUAUUUCUUCAAUGAAGAUUUAAUGGUUAUUAAAGCGAAAACAAACUGUAUAGAAAUGAUGCAAGUUGAUCAAGAUCAGUCAGUUAUUCUGACAGACAAUACUUUGGAUUUGGAUUCCUACUUAAGUAUACCAAGUAGGCUUUCACUGCCAGAAUUUGAAUUGAAGAGUAUCCGCCAAUGUACUCCACAAGUAAAUAGUGUUCUAAAUUAUUAUCAAAAAUACAAACAAUUCAACUCGCAAAAAGAAGCAUCAUUGUUGAUGUUUUGGUGAAAUAUCACUACACAUUUAUUGUUAACAAAAACAUCAAACCAGAAGAAUUCAAUUUGCUAGCUGCAAAAAUUGUUUCACUUUUCCCAACUGAAAGUAUAUAUACCUACUAUAUGAAAGCUGUGCCAACAUGCAAAUCUGCUUCAAGAAAAUAUGUGCUCGCUAAAGGCAAAUUAGUGGACAAGGUUCGAAAUCUCCUGUACAUAUCAGGAGCAAAGUGCAGGGGCAUUAAACCCACUUGCUCUAAUAGGGAUUCGGAUACAGAUGUAGAGUCUGUAGAAAAUAAUCAAGGGACUGCUUCAAAUGACGACGCUAUUUGGCUGAAAUAUAACAAUGAGCUAUGGGACCAAGUUUGUGAAAGGUGGAAUAACACCUUUGAAUUAAGACACAAACAAAAAUUUGAAACUGUAUAUGAUUUUCUUGAAACCUGGGCCAUUUGAAAAGACAGCAAAGCAGAUACUCUGCAAUGACAACGACGCAAAAAAACGAACGAAAAGAAAAAGAGCACACAAGCAGAUCACAUUCAGCCAUUAGCAUUUGGUUUGUUGGAUGACAACUUGAAAAUGUUCAAAUUCAAAUGGGAUUCAAGUUCAACCCAGGACCUUGUGCUUCAUAGGCAGAGUCACUACCCACGAAGAAAGAUACAGAGGCCGUUAAAAUACAAAAUAAUUCCGGUGCAGAUUUACCUGCUAUAUUUUUUAAUACCACCCAAAGGCCGAAAAUCUAGGAAAGUCAAGUUCUCAACCAUUGAAUCAAUCCAGGGCUUAUUAGUUCAGAUAGAUGACGCCGGAGAUAUCGACAGCGUAAUCGCAGCCCAGAAAGCUAAGGCUGCAGCCCGGAAGGAUACCGUGCAACCCUUCGUGCUCAUACAAAGACCGCUACAAAACUUCGCCCAGAUAUACAUCGUUAUUCAUGAUAUCAAAUACCACGUGCAUUCAGCUGCAAAGGCGUUCGACUCAUUGUUUAAGAUUUACCACGUUUUCCACGCCAAGUAUCCCCAAGUGUGUGAGCACCUCCACGUAAUUAUUCAAAAAAAGUGUAUCAAAUCCAUACGGCGUAUGAUACAGUACCACCGUAUAUAGUUGACGUUUUAAACUUAGAUGUGUAAAAUUUGGUCUUUGUAUUUUUAUUAAUAGUAUAGGAUCCGUACUAAGCUCGAUCUUCACCAACGUGUUAACCAGAUGAAAAUAAGUUUCUAAACAUGUCUCCUCAAUAAAAAUGAA
rnacentral:misc_RNA from 1 species